UAAAGGCAGAUGGGAUAAUUACUCAAGCGGAACCUAUCGAUGCAGUGAUGCUGCUACGGCCGCGGUGUGUUUACAAAUAGUUCACUGAGAUCUCGCCGACCCAGUUUACGAGAACCUGCGAGAUUAGCGGACCAUUUCAGAUUCAAUAUGGCUGCCCAGACUACUACACAGAAAUUUAGUGAUAUAUACGAUCUAAAAGAAGAACUUGGGAAGGGUGCUUUUUCCAUUGUGCGAAGAUGUGUACAGAAAUCCACAAAUUUAGAGUUUGCUGCAAAAAUCAUUAACACAAAGAAAUUAUCGGCCAGAGAUCAUCAAAAGCUUGAAAGAGAAGCUAGAAUAUGUAGGCUAUUAAAACAUACAAAUAUAGUACGAUUACAUGAUAGUAUACAGGAUGAGGGGUUCCACUAUCUUGUGUUUGACUUGGUAACAGGAGGGGAGUUGUUUGAAGACAUUGUAGCCAGGGAAUUCUACAGUGAGGCAGAUGCAAGUCACUGCAUGCAGCAAAUUUUAGAGAGUGUUAACUAUUGUCAUCAACAUGGAAUAGUGCACAGAGAUUUAAAGCCUGAAAACCUGUUGUUAGCUAGCAAAGCCAAAGGAGCAGCUGUGAAGUUAGCAGACUUUGGUCUGGCCAUAGAAAUACAGGGCGAUCAGCAGGCAUGGUUUGGCUUCGCUGGAACUCCUGGCUAUUUGUCCCCAGAAGUCCUGAGAAAAGACCCUUAUGGGAAGCCUGUAGAUAUAUGGGCAUGUGGUGUGAUUUUAUAUAUCCUGUUGGUGGGCUACCCCCCAUUCUGGGAUGAGGAUCAGCACAGACUUUAUGCUCAGAUCAAGGCUGGGGCUUAUGAUUACCCUUCCCCAGAAUGGGACACGGUCACACCAGAGGCCAAGAAUCUCAUCAACAGUAUGCUGACAGUCAACCCUGCAAAGCGUAUCAAUGCCACAGAGGCACUGAAGCACCCCUGGAUAUGCCAACGUGAGAGAGUGGCAUCUGUGGUUCACAGACAGGAGACUGUAGACUGCCUGAAGAAAUUCAACGCCAGGAGGAAACUCAAGGGUGCAAUUCUUACUACAAUGUUGGCUACGAGGAACUUCUCUAGUGGUGGUUGGGGUGGAGGAGGUCAAGCAUUGUCAGCGACGGCCAAGGUCAACGGUGCAGCAUCUAAUGGCAACAUGGCAGCAAAACUAGCAUCUUCUCUUGUAGUAGAUUCUGGAAAACAGGCCGUCCCAACUGGAGAUCCACACAUGGAGCAAGCAUCGGCAUUGAAAGAUGCUGCAGUUGAUACAAAAGAUAGAGCAAAGAGUCCAUUAGGUUUAACUGGUGAAUCUAAAGGUACAGCCGCAUUUCCAUUCACCACACCUGAAGUGAAUAAGCAGCCCUCAACAAUGGCAUCAGUUCUGUUUGGUCAGCCGAAGAAAGAGCCAUCAAACUUCCUGGCAGCUUUGGUGUCUGGCCAGGCCAAGCAGGAAGUCUCCAAAGCAGUUGCAGUGUUAGCAGGACCAGAAACAAGUCGAACAGCUCCUCUUCCUGCUUCUGUAUCCAGGCAACCUCAACCUGAGGCCUCGAAGAUAGCCAGUUGUAUGAUGGGCACAGCUGGUCCUCCUGCUUCUGUACCUGGGCAACCUCAACUGGAGGCCUUGAAGAUAGCCAGUUGUAUGAUGGGCGGUGGCCGUAGUCUGAUGGCGAAGAAGAACGAUGGAAUCAAAGAAUCCACGGACAGUUCGGCCACUAUUGAUGAAUCUGAUGACACCAAAGGAAAAAGCGAUAUGGACAGGGGCAUCACUUUGACAGGGGGCAUCACUUUGACAGAAUUGCAGAUUAAUGAGUCCUCUACUGAUCCUCAAAAAACGCCGUGUAGAAAACAGGAUGUGAUCAAACUAACCGAGCAGCUGAUAGCAGCAAUAACUAGCGGCGAUUACGACGCCUACACCAAAUUCGUGGAUCCACAUAUGACAUGUUUUGAACCCGAAGCCAUGGGAAACCUAAUAGUUGGUAUGGAUUUCCAUAAGUUUUAUUUUGAUGUACAUACAAAGAACAAUAAGCAGAUCAACACUAGUAUAUUAAACCCUCACGUUCACCUGUUGGGAGAUGAUGCUGCUUGCAUAGCUUAUGUAAGGCUGACACAGUACAUAGACAGAAAUGGUCUACCUGUGACCACACAAGCUGAGGAAACCCGGGUCUGGCAGCGUAAGGAUAAUAAGUGGCAGAAUGUUCACUUCCAUCGGUCAGGAAGUCCUUCCGCACCCAACAAAUAGGUAGCAGUGGUUACCCGCCUUACAGUGGUAGGGGGGACCGCAGUGUUGCCAGAAGCAGAGGGACGGAGCCUUAGGGCUUGUUUUUGCUCAUUCUGACACUUGAGAUUUAUAUUUCCAGCUGGUCAUAUUGUUCUCGGGGGGCCGCCUAGCCCUAUGGCCUACUGCUGCCAUGCAUUUAUGUGGCCUGCGGGUGGAGCGUUGGAGGGAGGACCUGUUGCUACACAUUAUUUCUCUCUCAUUGGAGUGUAUGUAUAGGCUGACACUUGUCUGUUCUGUACUAGGGAUAACAACACACAUACCUGUGUAGCCGACAAGCACUCGUCAUGGUCAGCACACAAUGGUUACUUUACUAAUAAUACAAUUUUUUGUCACCAGCAUCAGGUAGUAAUUAUUCUAUGUAAAUUGGGCUGAUAUCUUAAAAAAAAUCUUUUUUGAUAAUGUUGAAUGAGUACUUUAAGAUCUACUGUCUUUAUAUAAUUAAUGUAUAGGAGCAUAAAAAUAGAUUUUGUGCUUGUGAAAUUUUUAUCUCAAAUUUGGGAUUGGAAAUUAGAAAUAUUAUUAAAACAACAACGCAUGAUUAUCUAUUACAUGAAAUUGUCUUUGAAGGCAUUUUUUAAAGAAAAAAUACAUAAAUUUAGUGAAUAUGUAGAAGAGUAUUACGAAACGAAUGUGUGACUCGUCUAAGGGUGAUCGUAGAGCUUUAGUCUUUUUAUUACACUCUAUGGAUAAAUUGUUACAGAGUACAUAACCAGAAUUAUUAAUUUUUCUUAUUGACUUUUAUUAUAAUUAUUAUCAAAUGCAAAAUAUAACUCUUGUAUCAUUAGUAUGAUAUUGUUAUUACAUGUAAAUGGCUUUACUAAGUAAUCUCAUGUGUUUAUAGGAGAGAAUGUGAGUAUGUCUAAUGUGGGGGAAAUCAGCACUUCUAGAUCAUUUAAAUACUGGUUUUGAAUGUUGAAUGCAUUGCGAUAUAUAUAAGUCCCUUUUUUCAGUUAUUGAUGAUAUGUGCAAUAUUGAUUAUGAUGUUUUGCCAAUUUUAAUAAGAUUUCCCCUUCCCUGUCAUUCAAUCCCCCACCCACAGCUACUUAGCUGUGUAUUUUGGUGGUAACCAAUUAUAUCAAUCAGAGAAGAAACACCACAGUUUAUUUAUAUAGAUCAUACCAAUCCCUUUUUCUUCUGUCAUACAAGUUAUUAGGGUUUUGAUCUGUUGUAAACCUAAUGAUUAAACAGCAGGGCAGUGGCUUAUCACUUCUACAUGUCCUGUAGUUUACAUAUAUAUUUGUGCAUAUUCAUUUACAUUUUACCAUAUUUAUCUAUAAUGGGCAUAUGUAGAUGUAUACCAAACCUUUUUGCUGAAUAUGGAUGUAUUUCAUUCUUAAAAUUGUAUAUAUUUUGAAAUCAUUUAGUUUUGAACCAAACUGUUAUACACUAUUUUAUGAUAUAGAUACAUUUGUUAUUUCCAGUGUGUGUAAGCUUGUCUGUAUGAUCACUUUUUUCUCCUCAAAGAAGUGACAUUUUAGGUAACCCUGGGUUGAUGAUAUUCCCAUUGUUUGUUCAUUUAAGACUUUGAACCUGCAGAUAUGUCACUCCAGUUUGCUCAUUCCUUCGAUAUCUUGAUCAUACUUCAUCUUUGUAUACACCCUCCCCCGUCCUUACCUUUGAAAUAUGCAAUUUUAAGCACCUCCCAGGCAACUCCACAUUUCCCCACCCAUUCCUCGAGCACUUGCUUUUACCCCUCCCUCCCCCCAUAUUCCUAUUUUUGUAGAUUAUAGGUAGGUUCAUCAGUAUGCAGUAUUGAUCAUGUCAGAAACAAUCAGUCUCAAGCUUCAUAAGAUGGUCUAUUCGUGAUGUACAUAAGCCAGCCUCAUUUUUCUCACCUUUAAAAUAGCUCUUGGCUCAUAGUACAUAAAACAGUGGACACUUCAAUACUAAAACAGUGGACACUUCAAUACUAAAACAGUGGACACUUCAAUACUAAAACAGUGGACACUAACAGUGAUUUGUUGGCAGAGUUUAUGGUUUCAUCUGAGAGAAAAGUACUUAAACGUUUCCAAGAAUUGGAAGUUUGGACAUAAUCUUCAAACAGAGCCGAUGUUAAUUUCAGUGUGUGUGUGCCAGUGUCAGUGUAAGGAGGGUUGGUUUGUAGAUAUAUUUUUAUAUGUCAAGUAGGUCUAACUCUGCCCAUGGUUGUCAUAUGAUUACUUGAGCCAUGCUGUAAAGUGUCAAUCAAAAUGGCUAAACUCAAAUUAUGCAGUUCACUAUCCAUCAAUUUACAGCUCUCUUGGUACAAAGUGCCUGCGAGCUUGUCAUGGUGUGGCAGAUUUUUACUUGAAACAACUUCCUCUUAAAGAAAAUAAGGCCUAAUGUCAUAACAUUUCACAUGUUGUUGUUUUUAAUGACCUUGACUUAUGUUCAAGGUCACACGGGUCAGAUAUAUUAAUAUCAUCAGUCAGUUUCUUGUAAUUAACCAGGAGACCAACAGAAUUAACUUCAGCCUGGAGUUACAAUUUCAAAUAAAUGACCUUGACAAAUAUUUAUAAAUAAAGAGGCCUAGAGUAUUUAUAUUGGCCUGUAGCUUGCUGAGUACAUUCAACAUCACAUUGGUAAAAUGUGCAAAUUUGGCCUGUAAGUGUAAUAGGGGGUACAGAUCCCACAAGGUCACAGAGGUCAAAUGUGUUGAAAAUUGAUACUAGUGUUUCUGUUAUUAUUCGGCUCAAUGAAGAAAUAUGAAAUGGCCACCAUGGCCUGAAAUCAGGGGAAACAUUUUUAUGUUUGAAAUAGAGGCAGGUGAGCAUUUUAGGCCACAUGGGCCUCUUAUUUUUAAGUCACGAAGAUAGUUUAUGCAAACUAUUGUAGACAUUAGGUUAGGAUAUGUAGAUGGUUAGUACAUAAAGCUGGCAAGCACAUGCUGUUUGUGAACAUUUAACAAGUCUCUUACUCUCAACCUAUUUGUUCAUUAUUAUAACUUUUAGGAUAUUUUGCUUUUUAGUACUAAAAUGAUUUUACUGUUUUUUUCUCUAAAAAUAAACUUUUUUUCCCAAAAGAGAUAAUUGAGCGUUUUUUAAAUAUGCUUAUCUUCUACAACACACGCUGUGGAGUACAACUAUCUCUUGCACUGAAAUGAGAUUGGUUUGUAUUCACAAACAUUUGAUGCAUUUCUUCCCUAAGAGAGUUGGAUGUCUACAAAGUGCUGACAUGUUAUUGUGUCAUGAAGAUAUUUUGAUAUUAUUACCAUAAUACAUUAUUCUGUCAUUUUUUCCAUAUUUUGUUGUUGUUACACGAGGCAUUUUGCUGAUAUGAUUUGUUUUUUGUCACUUGUCAUUGUGUUGCCACUUGUGGCUCCUGAAUGGCUACAGAAUGAUGCGUGGUACACUCCCACCAUUCUCAGGUGAUGAUCUUUUACAAACAUGCCAUUUUCUGGGCUUGUGUGACAGCCACCAUGUGAGAACAAAGAGUAAUGGAAGAUAAUAGAGUAAACCAACUUUUGAAUGUUCCUGUUGACCGGGCCUUUACGUCGGUCAGCAGUGGUAGUGUUGGUGGUGACCAGGAUAUACUGUUGACCGGGCCUUUACGUCGGUCAGCAGUGGUUUUGUUGGUAGUGACCAGGAUAUACUGUUGACCGGCCCUUUGCGUCGGUCAGCAGUGGUAGGGUUGGUAGUGACCAGGAUAUACUGUUGACUGGGCCUUUACGUCGGUCAGCAGUGGUAUUGUUGGUAGUGACCAGGAUAUACUGUUGAUCGGGCCUUUACGUCGGUCAGCAGUGGUUUUGUUGGUAGUGACCAGGAUAUACUGUUGAAUGGGCCUUUACGUCGGUCAGCAGUGGUAGUGUUGGUGGUGACCAGGAUAUACUGUUGACCGGGCCUUUAGGUCGGUCAGCAGUGGUAUUGUUAGUAGUGACCAGGAUAUCCUGUUGACCGGGCCUUUAGGUCGGUCAGCAGUAGUAUUGUUAGUAGUGACCAGGAUAUACUGUUGACGGGGCCUUUACGUCGGUCAGCAGUGGUAGUGCUGGUAGUGACCAGGAUAUACUGUUGACCGGCCCUUUGCGUCGGUCAGCAGUGGUAGGGUUGGUAGUGACCAGGAUAUACUGUUGACUGGGCCUUUACGUCGGUCAGCAGUGGUAGUGCUGGUAGUGACCAGGAUAUACUGUUGACCGGGCCUUUAGGUCGGUCAGCAGUGGUAUUGUUAGUAGUGACCAGGAUAUCCUGUUGACCGGGCCUUUACGAGGUCAGCAGUGGUAGUGUUGGUAGUGACCAGGAUAUACUGUUGACCGGGCCUUUACGUUGGUCAGCAGUGGUAUUAUUGGUAGUGACUAGGAUAUACUGUAUUACAAGCUAGGUGACAGGUAAAUGAACUUUAUGUUUAACCAUGUCCUCAAUCAUCGGGUCAUACUUCCCCACUGAUCUCAACUGUCUGUUUACUUGAGCUACUAAUCUUAUGCAGUUCUCCUAUUUAGUCCUGUACUCAGUUUUCAUAGAAGUUUUCCAAAAUGGAGGGUAGUUGCAUUUUUUUCUUCUCUUCAAACAAUUUUUUUUUCCAUUUCACAGCUUAGUUAUCAAAAGUAGAAGUUAUGAAAAAAAUAAAAAUAGAUAAUGUAUGUAAAAUAGCUAACAUUUUGAAUGAUAGUCUACAAUGUACACCCAAAGGCAAGGAUCAUUUAGCAAUAUUUUAUUAAAAAAAAAUCUUCUUUAAAAUCUAAAUGACCUAUUUCUUUAUUUUUAAAUUCUUUGGAAAUUGUGAUUUGGUGUAUUGUUGUAAGACAGUUAUAGGAAGCUGUUGGCACUGCCGAACAUAUACUAAAUAGGAUCCUGUAUCUCUUUGUUAAUUCACACCAAAAUAUAGCUGGCCACCAAAAUAAGCCAACCUGUGUUGUCUAUGUGUUACAGUCUAGGGACAAUCUGUCGUAUUAUCACAUGCAAAUUAAUUGAUGUCUACACUUUUUAUUAUUAAUAUAUUCUAGCAUUGUUCCUAGCCGUUUUGAAUACCAGUAGUUGAUGUUACGUAGUUUUCUAGUACGACACAUUUGGUAUAAGUUUUUUAUCAUAGCUUACAGCUCCUUGAAGGAGCCUUUCAUAUUUUCAAAACUAUCUUGUAAAUAUUUAACAUAUUAUUUGUCAUUUAAAAAAGGCAAUUGUGAGACUUUCGAAACACUAACCAUAUACAUGCAAGAUUGGGAGGAUGUGCUAUAGCAUCUGUGUUGGUACUGGCCGAACAUUACCUACAAUACUGUCAUGUAUAGGUUGGUACAGGCCGAACAUUACCUACAAUACUGUCACGUAUAGGUUGGUACAGGCCGAACAUUACCUACAAUACUGUCAUGUAUAGGUUGGUCUGGUACAGGCCGAACAUUACCUACAAUACUGUCAUGUAUAGGUUGGUCUGGUACAGGUCGAACAUUACCUACAAUACUAUCACGUAUAGGUUGGUUUGGUACAGGCCGAAUAUUACCUACAAUACUGAUACACUAAGUAUUUUUGUUGUUUUAUUAGUAAAUGUUAAUUUCCUUCAAUUUGAAACAUUCCCUUUGAAAAUGUUUAUACAUUAGUACUUAGCCACUAGAUUGCAGUUGUAUGGUGUUAGAUACUGUGAAGGACACUUAUCAGGGUAUUUUACUGUAUUAUCAAUUUGUUUUGUAGUUUGUUUAAAAAGGGAGGCUGUCCUAGGCAAAGCUAAUGUGUCUACUUGGUGAUCAUAUUAACACUAGUCGAAAGGUUACAUUUGGGACUAUGUUAGCUCUUUACUUCACCCAACCAACAUCAUCAGCUUCGAAUUCUCAGUAGAACGGUUCGACUUACAUUGAAGACUUCUCUGACUGCACUUGUAAGAGGCAAAUAUUCGAUCUAGUUAUAAUGUUACUUAUUCCAUGGAGUAAUAAUGUUACUUAUUCCAUGGAGUAAUAAUGUUACUUAUGUCAUGAAGUGAUAAUGUUACUUAUGUCAUGGAGUAAUAAUGUUACUUAUGUCAUGGAGUAAUAAUGUUACUUAUGUCAUGGAGUAAUAAUGUAGCGUAUUCCACGUAGAUAUAAUGUAACUUAUUCCACGUAGAAAUAAUGUAACUAGUUCCAUGGAGUGAUAAUGUAACUAGUUCCAUGGAGAAAUAAUGUAACUUAUUCCAUGGAGUAAUAAUGUUACUUAUGUCAUGAAGUGAUAAUGUUACUUAUGUCAUGGAGUAAUAAUGUUACUUAUGUCAUGGAGUAAUAAUGUAGCGUAUUCCACGUAGAAAUAAUGUAACUUAUUCCACGUAGAAAUAAUGUAACUAGUUCCAUGGAGAAAUAAUGUAACUAGUUCCAUGGAGAAAUAAUGUAACUAGUUCCAUGGAGUGAUAAUGUAACUAGAAUAAGCGACUUGCGUCCACAGGUCCCAGUAACUAUGUUCCAGUGUAAAAGACUCCAGACAACAGUCAGGCUAACAGUUGUGCCAUAGUUAUUUUACAUCAUCACAGAAUCAAUCGGAGAAUGGCAAUAUUUCUAUCAAACUUUACAUGACAAUAUUUUAUUUAUUGUCUAUUUACAGAUUCUAAAAUCAAUUUUCAAACAUUUUAUCUUCCUUAAUAGCCUGAACAUUAUGAAAUAUCCUAAAUGGAAUAGCUCAUGUUAGAUAAAAAUUGAUGUAUUACAAAUAUUGUUUUGUUAUACCUGGUAUGCAGGAUAUAUGAGGUGCACAUCAUGUACACAACAUAAUGAUAUCAAAUUGUUAAGAAUCCUGCAUUGCCAUUCAUUUUAUAUAUUAUAACGAAUUUGAUUAAUAUGGUUAUUAAAAUUAAACUUUGAGAGUUCUGAAAUAUAAUGAUGAAAUUGAAACCAAGUGGAAAUUACCUUAUAUGUAUGAAAUGUGAUUUAAUCAAUAUUAUACUAUUUUGUAGUGCUGCUGCUAAAUUGAAAUCUGCAGGUCAGUCAGUCUUCUAUAUUAAAAGCAGUUUAGUAUCCAGUAAGUUUCUACUGGUUAUAUAUGUUGAUCAAUACACUAGAUACCCUUUCUCUUUCAAACCCAUUACAAACACUUAUGCCACCCAUUGUUUUCAUAUAUUAGGUGUCGUACACAUUUCUUCAUUGAAUUUUUUUCAACCGUGUAUGUAUGUGAUGUAGUGCUUAAACAAUUUAAAUGUAUCCCUUUUGAAUAAAACACAUCUCAAUUCUAUAAAA
rnacentral:misc_RNA from 1 species